UACGGAGGGUGCGAGCGUUAAUCGGAAUUACUGGGCGUAAAGCGCACGUAGGUGGCUACGUAAGUCGGGUGUGAAAGCCCCGGGCUCAACCUGGGAAUUGCAUUCGAGACUGCAUUGCUGGAGUACGGAAGAGGAAGGCGGAAUUCCCGGUGUAGCGGUGAAAUGCGCAGAUAUCAGGAAGAACACCAAUGGCGAAGGCAGCUCUCUGGGACGGUACUGACGCUGAGACGCGAAAGCGUGGGGAGCGAACAGG
rnacentral:rRNA from 1 species